CCCUAGUAUAAAAUAAUAAAAGAAAUUAGUAUGAAAAAGAAAUUUAAAAUUUUUGGCGGUUAAUUAGUUAUUAGAGGAGCUUGUUCAUAAUAGAAUUUACUCUUUAUAUUUUAUAAAUUAAAGCUUAUUUAUCUCCGUUAUAAUGAUAAAAAUGAAAGUAUAUAACUUAUAUUUCAGGUCAAGAUGUAGCUUUAAUAUUCAGAAAUUAGCUACAAUUAUAAAGUAACAGAAAUUUAUUGAAAUAAAAUUGUAAGUUGAAUUUAACUGUAAUAUGUUUUAUUAUAAAUAUAUGAAAAAUUAUAAUUAAUGUA
rnacentral:rRNA from 1 species